rnacentral:pre_miRNA from 12 species
UGGAGGCAAUGUUGUCAUCAUAAGUUCAUAGUUCGACACCAUGGAUCUCCAGGUGGGUCAAGAUUAUAGAGAUACACCAACCUGGAGGACUCCAUGCUGUUGAGCUGUUCACAAGCAGCGGAAGCCAAUA